CGGUCUUGGGCGAACUCCCCGGGAACUGGGGCCAAUUUUCGAUAGGUGAAGAACCCUGGAAUGGGUCUUCGCCCAAAAGGCGCUUGGAGCAUGCUUCUAGGCGUUGCCCAAGGAUGGGGCCGCGGCCGAUCAGGUUGUUGGUGAGGUAAUGGCUCACCAAGCCUUUAACCGGUACGGGCCGUGGGAGCGGUAGCCCGGAGAUGGGCACUGAGACAAGGGCCCAGGCCCUACGGGGCGCAGCCGUCGCGAAAACUUCGCAAUAGGCGAAAGCUUGACGAGGCCAUCCCGAGUGCCAUCUGCUGAGGAUGGCUUUUACCUAGUGUAGAUAGCUGGGGGAAUAAGGAGAGGGCAAGUCUGGUGUCAGCCGCCGCGGUAAUACCAGCUCUCCGAGUUGUGGGGAUGUUUAUUGGGCCUAAAGCAUCCGUAGCCGGCUGGGCAAGUCCUCUGUUAAACCCAGCGAUCAAUCGUUGGCUUGCGGGGGAUACUGUCCGGCUAGGGGGCGGGAGAGGCCGUCGGUAUUCUCGGGGUAGGGGUGAAAUCCUAUAAUCCCGGGAGGACCACCAGUGGCGAAGGCUGUCGGCUAGAACGCGCCCGACGGUGAGGGAUGAAAGCUGGGGGAGCGAACCGGAUUAGAUACCCGGGUAGUCCCAGCUGUAAACGAUGCAGGCUAGGUGUUAGGGCGGCUACGUGCCGCUCUAGUGCCGCAGGGAAGCUGUUAAGCCUGCCGCCUGGGGAGUACGGCCGCAAGGCUGAAACUUAAAGGAAUUGGCGGGGGAGCAC
rnacentral:rRNA from 1 species